rnacentral:rRNA from 1 species
UACGUAGGCAGCAAGCGUUGUUCGGAAUUACUGGGCGUAAAGAGUGUGUAGGCGGUGCUGUAAGUCUGGUGUGAAAUCUCCCGGCUCAACUGGGAGGGUGCGCCGGAAACUGCAGUGCUUGAGGGUGGGAGAGGUAAGCGGAAUUCCUGGUGUAGCGGUGAAAUGCGUAGAUAUCAGGAGGAACACCUGUGGUGUAGACAGCUUACUGGACCACUUCUGACGCUGAGACACGAAAGCGUGGGGAGCGAACAGG